rnacentral:rRNA from 1 species
AAUAUUGCACAAUGGGCGCAAGCCUGAUGCAGCCAUGCCGCGUGUAUGAAGAAGGCCUUCGGGUUGUAAAGUACUUUCAGCGGGGAGGAAGGCGAUGCGGUUAAUAACCGCACCGAUUGACGUUACCCGCAGAAGAAGCACCGGCUAACUCCGUGCCAGCAGCCGCGGUAAUACGGAGGGUGCAAGCGUUAAUCGGAAUUACUGGGCGUAAAGCGCACGCAGGCGGUCUGUUAAGUCAGAUGUGAAAUCCCCGGGCUUAACCUGGGAACUGCAUUUGAAACUGGCAGGCUUGAGUCUUGUAGAGGGGGGUAGAAUUCCAGGUGUAGCGGUGAAAUGCGUAGAGAUCUGGAGGAAUACCGGUGGCGAAGGCGGCCCCCUGGACAAAGACUGACGCUCAGGUGCGAAAGCGUGGGGAGCAAACAGG